rnacentral:rRNA from 1 species
GCACUGGCUAACUCUGUGCCAGCAGCCGCGGUAAUACAGAGAGUGCAAGCGUUAAUCGGAAUCACUGGGCGUAAAGCGCGCGUAGGUGGAUAUUUAAGUCGGAUGUGAAAGCCCUAGGCUUAACCUAGGAACUGCAUUCGAUACUGGAUAUCUCGAGUAUGGUAGAGGGAAGUGGAAUUUCCGGUGUAGCGGUGAAAUGCGUAGAUAUCGGAAAGAACACCAGUGGCGAAGGCGGCUUCCUGGACCAAUACUGACACUGAGGCGCGAAAGCGUGGGGAGCAAACAGGAUUAGAGACCCUGGC